UGCAGUUACGGUCAGGCAAUCAAGGUAAACUGUGCAUAUGCCAGUGGCCAGAGGGAGGUUACUUCAGGCGACUUCAACAUCUUUGUUGGUGACCCUAAGUCCUGAAGUCACUGAUGGGACUCUGUUUGCAUGCUUUUCAGUGUAUUCCAGCUGUUCAGAUGCACGGGUUAUGUGGGAUCAUAAAACUGGGCGCUCAAGGGGAUUUGCCUUUGUUUCUUUCCGUAAUCAGCGGAUGGAGGAGGUCAAGAGAAUGUAAGUGACGAGGCCCCUGAAAACAACCCUGUAUUUUCAACCGUCUAUGUUGGUAAUCUUGCACACGAGGUAAAAUAGAAGAACUGAGACAUUGUGUUGGUUGCAUGGUUUGUACAAUUGAGAGAAAAAAAAAAUGUCCCUUAAAUUGAUGCCCCAUCAUUUGCAGCAUGUUUAUUUUUAUCAUCUAUGCUGACAUUUCCUGUUUUUCCUGUUUCGAUGGCCAAUUCGUCAGGUGACUCCAACUGAACUCCAUCGCCAGUUUCAUUCUCUUGGGGUUGGUGUCAUUGAAGAAGUGCAUGUAAGAGAGAUAAAGGUUUUGGAUUUGUAAGGUACCAGUACGACACACAUGAUCAAGCAGCCCUGGCCAUGGAGUCUAUGCUGGCACCUGGCAACUUAAUCGGGUGCCCAUGGAUAGCUGCAACAUUACUCAAUCAACAACUGUUUCCCAGAAUCUGCCCCAAGUUGGACAUAUAACUGUUUCCCAUGAAUGGAUUAUAAAAUGAUUAAAAUGAAUGAUUGUG